GCAAGGGCAAACUGUGAACUUAAAGUGGCCCUGGAAGAAAUACUAAAAGAGGCCCUGAUUUGUAACUAGGUCCAAGUUGAUGGAAGGCAGGGCCAGUAAUACCAUAUCGUGGCACAUUAUACCACCCCAACAGUGCCAAAUAUCACAGUCCAUCACAAAAUAC